rnacentral:rRNA from 1 species
GGACGGGUGAGUAACGCGUGGGAACGUGCCCUUCUCUACGGAAUAGCCCCGGGAAACUGGGAGUAAUACCGUAUACGCCUUUUGGGGGAAAGAUUUAUCGGAGAAGGAUCGGCCCGCGUUGGAUUAGGUAGUUGGUGGGGUAAUGGCCCACCAAGCCGACGAUCCAUAGCUGGUUUGAGAGGAUGAUCAGCCACACUGGGACUGAGACACGGCCCAGACUCCUACGGGAGGCAGCAGUGGGGAAUCUUAGACAAUGGGGGCAACCCUGAUCUAGCCAUGCCGCGUGAGUGAUGAAGGCCUUAGGGUUGUAAAGCUCUUUCAGCUGGGAAGAUAAUGACGGUACCAGCAGAAGAAGCCCCGGCUAACUCCGUGCCAGCAGCCGCGGUAAUACGGAGGGGGCUAGCGUUGUUCGGAAUUACUGGGCGUAAAGCGCACGUAGGCGGACUGGAAAGUCAGAGGUGAAAUCCCAGGGCUCAACCUUGGAACUGCCUUUGAAACUAUCAGUCUGGAGUUCGAGAGAGGUGAGUGGAAUUCCGAGUGUAGAGGUGA